rnacentral:tRNA from 1 species
GUACUUAUAGUAAAAAUGAUUAUGCUUGUUUUAGGAUCAAGAGGUUAGAGGUACU